UACAGGGGGGGCAAGCGUUGUUCGGAAUUACUGGGCGUAAAGGGCUCGUAGGCGGCCAACUAAGUCACACGUGAAAUCCCCAGGCUUAACCUGGGAACUGCGUGUGAUACUGGUUGGCUUGAAUCCGGGAGAGGGAUGCAGAAUUCCAGGUGUAGCGGUGAAAUGCGUAGAUAUCUGGAGGAAUACCGGUGGCGAAGGCGGCAUCCUGGACCGGCAUUGACGCUGAUGAGCGAAAGCUAGGGGAGCAAACGGG
rnacentral:rRNA from 1 species